rnacentral:rRNA from 1 species
UACGUAGGGACCAAGCGUUGUUCGGAUUUACUGGGCGUAAAGGGCGCGUAGGCGGCUUAACAAGUCACUUGUGAAAUCUCCGGGCUUAACUCGGAACGGCCAAGUGAAACUGUCAAGCUAGAGUGCAGAAGGGGCAAUCGGAAUUCUUGGUGUAGCGGUGAAAUGCGUAGAUAUCGUAAGGAAGACCAGUGGCGAAGGCGGGUCUCUGGACAGUUCCUGACGCUGAGGCACGAAGGCCAGGGGAGCAAACGGG